GACGAACGCUGGCGGCGUGCUUAACACAUGCAAGUCGAACGAGAAGAGAUGAGAAGCUUGCUUCUUAUCAAUUCGAGUGGCAAACGGGUGAGUAACGCGUAAGCAACCUGCCCUUCAGAUGGGGACAACAGCUGGAAACGGCUGCUAAUACCGAAUACGUCUUUUGCGCAUGGCAGAGAGAAGAAAGGGAGGCUCUUCGGAGCUUUCGCUGAAGGAGGGGCUUGCGUCUGAUUAGCUAGUUGAGGGUAACGGCCCACCAAGGCGACGAUCGAGUAGCCGGUCUGAGAGGAUGAACGGCCACAAUUGGGACUGAGACACGG
rnacentral:rRNA from 1 species